CGGUAGCUAAUACCGCAUAACGUCGCAAGACCAAAGAGGGGGACCUUCGGGCCUCUUGCCAUCGGAUGUGCCCAGAUGGGAUUAGCUAGUAGGUGGGGUAACGGCUCACCUAGGCGACGAUCCCUAGCUGGUCUGAGAGGAUGACCAGCCACACUGGAACUGAGACACGGUCCAGACUCCUACGGGAGGCAGCAGUGGGGAAUAUUGCACAAUGGGCGCAAGCCUGAUGCAGCCAUGCCGCGUGUAUGAAGAAGGCCUUCGGGUUGUAAAGUACUUUCAGCGGGGAGGAAGGGAGUAAAGUUAAUACCUUUGCUCAUUGACGUUACCCGCAG
rnacentral:rRNA from 1 species